rnacentral:rRNA from 1 species
AGCGAACGCUGGCGGCAGGCCUAAUACAUGCAAGUCGAGGGGCAGCAGUUUUGUAGCAAUACAGAAGCUGGCGACCGGCAAACGGGUGCGGAACACGUACGCAACCUUCCUUUAACUGGAAGAUAGCCCACCGAAAGGUGGAUUAAUACUCAAUAAAAUAUUGAAGAGGCAUCUUUUUGAUAUUAAAGCUCCGGCGGAUAAAGAUGGGCGUGCGUCUGAUUAGGUAGUUGGCGGGGUAACGGCCCACCAAGCCUUCGAUCAGUAGCUGAUGUGAGAGCAUGAUCAGCCACACGGGCACUGAGACACGGGCUUGACUCCUACGGGAGGUAGCAGUAAGGAAUAUUGGUCAAUGGACGCAAGUCUGAGCCAGCCAUGCCGCGUGGAGGAUGAAGGCCCUCUGGGUUGUAAACUUCUUUUCUUUGGGACGAAACCCCUGUUUCUACGGGGACUGACGGUACCAGAGGAAUAAGCACCGGCUAACUCCGUGCCAGCAGCCGCAGUAACAC